GAUGAACGCUGGCGGCGUGCCUAAUACAUGCAAGUCGAGCGGUAAGGCUUUCACAGAUUAUUUAACCAGAUAAGUUCUUCGGAAAACUGUCUGCAGCGUUGUUCUCCCGGCUAGGAGAAUAAGGUUGAAUAAUGCGUGAAAGUACACGAGCGGCGGACGGCUGAGUAACACGUAGGAACGUACCCCAAAGUGAGGGAUAAGCACCGGAAACGGUGUCUAAUACCGCAUGUGAUCUUCGGAUUAAAGCUUCGGCGCUUUGGGAACGGCCUGCGCAUGAUUAGC
rnacentral:rRNA from 1 species